CGCGGCCUAUCAGCUUGUUGGUGGGGUAGAGGCCUACCAAGGCGACGACGGGUAGCCGGCCUGAGAGGGUGACCGGCCACACUGGGACUGAGACACGGCCCAGACUCCUACGGGAGGCAGCAGUGGGGAAUAUUGCACAAUGGGCGAAAGCCUGAUGCAGCAACGCCGCGUGAGGGAUGACGGCCUUCGGGUUGUAAACCUCUUUCAGCGCUGACGAAGCCUUCGGGUGACGGUAGGCGCAGAAGAAGGACCGGCCAACUACGUGCCAGCAGCCGCGGUAAUACGUAGGGUCCGAGCGUUGUCCGGAAUUAUUGGGCGUAAAGGGCUCGUAGGCGGCCUGUCGCGUCUACUGUGAAAGCCCGAGGCUUAACCUCGGGUCUGCAGUGGAUACGGACAGGCUAGAGUUCGGUAGGGGAGACUGGAAUUCCUGGUGUAGCGGUGAAAUGCGCAGAUAUCAGGAGGAACACCGGUGGCGAAGGCGGGUCUCUGGGCCGAUACUGACGCUGAGGAGCGAAAGCAUGGGGAGCGAACAGGAUUAGAUACCCUGGUAGUCCAUGCCGUAAACGUUGGGCGCUAGGUGUGGGUUCCCUUCCACGGGAUCUGUGCCGCAGCUAACGCAUUAAGCGCCCCGCCUGGGGAGUACGG
rnacentral:rRNA from 1 species